GGCGGUCUGUCAAGUCGGAUGUGAAAUCCCCGGGCUCAACCUGGGAACUGCAUUCGAAACUGGCAGGCUAGAGUCUUGUCGAGGGGGGUAGAAUUCCAGGUGUAGCGGUGAAAUGCGUAGAGAUCUGGAGGAAUACCGGUG
rnacentral:rRNA from 1 species